CAUCAAUAGAAACGAAUUAAGUUCAAACAGCAGGUGAUUGCUAUAAGUCGUUGAAAAGUUCCCUCGACUAUCUUUCUUCUCCAUCAUCAGAUCGACUCCAGACCUUUAUUAAAUAGUAGAGCUUUAUAUUACUUAAUGAAAACAUGAUUAAAUUUACUAGUCACCCUUACGAUUUUUGGAAGUUUCCCUCGAUUUCUCUGGAAUCCCAUCAUCAGAUCCUGGUUUCCUUAUCAUGGUACCAAA
rnacentral:misc_RNA from 1 species